CAAAGCACCAGGAACUACAGGGAAGAUCAUCCGGUCAAUUUUUACCGCAUCAGCUUUGAGUUCUUGAACUCGAAUCAAGAACAGAGCAGGCUUGAGUUGUAUCAUUUUCAAGAACAGAGUAGGAUUGAGUUGUAUCACACUGCUUGUUCAGCAACUUUCGUAGCGACAUCGGCAUUCACAUGGCGAUCUUUCCAUUGAUCUGGAUGAGUUGAAUCCGUAUGACUGGGAUGGGUUGGCAUCUACUUUCUGCAGAUGAUGGGCCACCUGGCCUUUGGCAACCAUGGCAUCUACAACACCUUCUACGUUCUUCAGCCUUGGGUUUAUGAGCACCUGAGGUUCCUGUAUCCUGAGCUUAGGGAUUCGGGUCAUAAAUUCUUCCUUACCACCACGAGGUGGGGGGUUAGUCAAAUAGAGGGUCAGCUCCUGAUCCGAGAGGGGACUUUAGCGAGAGCCAUGCUUAAUGAGCUCACCAUGGCUAUCUGGAAUCCAUUCCUGGAGUAGCCCUUCCCAGAUGCCGGUUGAUGGAAUAGGGCCAUAGAGCUGAUCCAGUUGUGAGUGCUCUUUCGGGGUCCUGAUGGCUUAGCUUGGUACUUGGGGGAGCAAGAGAUGGGGUAGUGGCCCAAGUCUGACAGAUGUUAUACCCCAUAUCUACCUCCUACUAUAAUGCAUUACCUAUGUAGUGUUCUAGAGGUGGAGCUGGAGGUGGCGACAGGAGGACUAUAGGAGAAGAGCUUUAUAGAUUUCGGGAGAGAUUAUCAGUCUUUCCUAGAUGAGGAGACCGUGUGCAUCCCAUUAACCCCCUCGGGCCCACUACUAAGCAAUCCUCCUCUACCAAAUUCAUUUUCUUUGAUUUAGCCAUUAUUGUUGACUGCUUGUCUGUCUUUGUAGUAUCAUAAUCAUCUCAUUGUCCCUAUUCGACCGGCUACUUACUCGGUUGGUGCCUCCACCGCUGGGUCAUCUUCUUACAUUGAAGGCUCCAUCCAUCAUAUGGCCAUCGUACCAUUCCCAGGGUUCCCUUGGUGGUCAUAUGUGGAUACGUAUGCCCCAUUGCCUCAGAGGUUGUUGCCCCAGUCUCUUAAGCAUGACACAAAGUUGGGUCUCUUGAUCCCCUUUGACUACGUGAGUAUUCCCAACCUCACUCCUCUCUUUCCUUUAUGGAUCCCAUUUGAUUGACAUGUUUCUAAUAGGUAUCCUUUGAGGCGUAUGCUGAUAAUCAUCAGAUGCACUACAACCUUAAUUAGCAUCUAUAUGAGCAAACCUAUGUCCACGAUCAAGUAUCUUUCAUCCCUUAGACUUCCUUUUACUUAAUUAUUCAUGUACUAACUUAAUCUCAUAUUCUCAGGAUGUGGAGUUGGACACAAAGAAUGGGGAGAUUGCAGAGCUUUAGCAGAGUGCAGGAUUUGCAGCUCAAGUUGGGCAUGAGGUUGAUCGGAGAUGUGGUGAUUUCCACAGAUGAGCUUGACUCUGAUGAUGAUGAUACCCACCCUUAGGAAUCUUUCUCUUUUUAUGCCUUUCUUACUUCCCUAUACAUAACUUUGUAGAACAUUCUUGUAGACAAAGGAAAUAUUAGUAGAAACUCUUAUACAUAUUUGUAUCAUUGUUAUAUUGUCA